UCAGAUAGUUCCUCUGAAACUGGCCUCUACUGUUCAAUCUGCCAUUUAAAUUUUUUUUUUCAUUUAGAAUAUUUUCCUGUGAUUACAUGAUUCAUUGCUGCCAGUUUUAAUCAUCAGUGGGACACUGCGAUCUCCAGAACUCACUAGGUCUCUUAGGUAAUCUAGAAUACUAGUUUCCCAGGAUCAGGAAAGAAUAAACACAAAAGAAACAUGGUGCCAUGUGUUCAACAGUGCAUAUCAACCAAAUGAGAGAGAGAGAGUCACCCUACCUCUUCAGCUGCCUUAGGAUAUUGACGCUGAGACUCAUCACCUUUCAGGGGCCUCUG
rnacentral:lncRNA from 1 species